GGGUCAUUCAAAUUUCUGCCCUAUCAACUUUCGAUGGUAAGGUAUUGGCUUACCAUGGUUUCAACGGGUAACGGGGAAUUAGGGUUCGAUUCCGGAGAGGGAGCUGAGAAACGGCUACCACAUCCAAGGAAGGCAGCAGGCGCGCAAAUUACCCAAUCCCGACCGGGAAGGUAGUGACAAUAAAUACUGAUACAGGGCUCUUUUGGGUCUUGUAAUUGGAAUGAGUACAAUUUAAACCUCUUAACGAGGAACAAUUGGAGGGCACGUCUGGUGCCAGCAGCCGGGGUAAUUCCAGCUCCAAUAGCGUAUAUUAAAGUUGUUGCAGUUAAAAAGCUCGUAGUUG
rnacentral:rRNA from 1 species